rnacentral:lncRNA from 1 species
CACCUCCACUCUAUCUCUCUCAAUCUAGUAGAAACUAGAAGAUCUAUUUCUACCUUACAUUGGUUGCUAAGCCUAAAAAGAAAUAUUAUUUAGAGAAGAGGUUUUCCUUCGAGGGCACCCCUCAAUCUCUAUGAUAAUUUCUUGUCUUCUCCAGGGGCCAGGGGGGCCUUGCUUAUAUAGUCCUCCCCUUCUAUGCGUUUUUGGGUCAAUAGGCGAGGUGGUACUAUGUUAUUCUGGAUCCAAUAGGUCGGUGGAACGUCGUGUGCGAAGAGAGUCCUGUUUGGGCAGGGCGGGCGCCCUGGGCCUGGCCCCGUUUCGCCUCCGCUUCGGUCUCGUGGCUUCUGGAGUCUUCUAGAUGGUAGAAAAUUGCGCGGUGGGUUGAUAUCUCUAUGUAAUCCCGAUAUGUGGGCCUUUCUUCCUUAUUUCCUGAUAACCCCCUGCAGAAAUAGACAAACACCAAAACUCGUGGAAUUCUGUCAGAUAAAACCCUAAGUCUAGAUGUUGAUUUCAUUUGGAUCCUUUUCUUUGUUUAUUUGAUAAUUAAAUUUGAUACUUAAGGACCGUCAACAAACUCCCCCAAGCUUACCUCUUGCUCGUCCCUGAGCAAAGAUAGACUUAGCUAUGGAUCAGAAGUUGCUGCAAUAUAUAUAUAUUUUUUUAAAAAAAAAAAAUUGGCGGUACACAUGCUUUUUAAAUAAGAUCUCAUCUCUGAGUUAGAGUAAACUGUCAAGACUUAAAACUUACUUACUUUACCUUCACCAUGGGACUUGUAACCGUCACUUCUGUCUUGAGUGGUUAAAAGAUAGAACAGUCUAGUCAAGUGCCAUGUCUCUUAUUCUUGAUCAGCUAUAGCUCUGGGGCUUUUGCAGAUUUUCAAAUAAAACUCAGAAAUUCCUUGUAUGAUUCUCUCAGGUCUCUCUUUUGUGGUAUUUUUGGAUCCUUACCAAGGCAGUGAUGGUAUAUGCCUUCUCUCAAGAUAUGUAGUAUUUGUGGUAUGAAGCAUAGUGACAUUGCCUUCUCUCUCACCCUACUCUAAUAAGGCUUUAAUAUCUGGAGCUCAUAGGUGGGAGAUAAAAUAUACAUACUUACAAGACAUGUAUUGUGUAGUCAAACCAUGGAUCCAAAGUAACAAGUCAAUAAGUUUAAUCAAGAUGUGCAUGUGUGGUGAAUGAAUGGUGUAUGAUGAUAAUGGUGAUAACAAUGGUGGAAACAAUGGUGGUGGAAGUCUAAUUCUACUUUGCUCUUUUGAGGGGAUACAUACCUUCCUUGCUUUUUGAAACUUUAUGAGGAGAAUGAGAUGCUCUAUAUAUAUGUUUUUUUUUCUUUUCUCUCAGGUGGGUAUCUUGUACCCCUAAUUCUACUGUCGGACACUUGUCCAUUUUUACCUCUCGUCUCACUUUUUCUUUUCUUUCGAGGUUCCGAGCACUUGCUCCUUUUUAUUUCCUCGUAUCUUUUAUUUUCUUUUUUUCUUCUUCUUUUUUUUCUCUUUUUUUUUCUAGAGCACUCAUCUCCUGAAAUAAUGUAGCAAGUGGUAGUAACAAGAUAACUUGAGCAUUUAUUUCACAAGGGGAAACAGAAAUAUUUUUGGUUAUUCUCUCCCGGAUUAGGAGUAGAAUACUUUUGGGUGGUUUUGGAGAUGGAAAUGAGUGGAUAUAUGUGGAUGGUACUUCCGGAGUAGAAGUAGCAUGUAUGAGUGAACGUGCAAGUGAAUCUUGAUUUAACCACAUGACAAGCUCCUAAGGGUCUACACAGCUUGACCACACUCAAUGCUCAUAAGCAGUAAAUAUUAAAUGUGUGGCUCAAAGUCUAGCAAGCAUGUAUAUAUGGCUGUGGUAGGAAUUUAAACUCUCAUCAUACAGGAACUCAUCAUGCAACGUUUUAAAGAUUUUCAAAGAUAUAAUUCUCCAGAAUUCUAGCAUCUCUAGGAACAGAUAAACAGCAGCUCAACCUUCCCAUAUCGUAUCCGUUAACAACUUAGACUUCAGAUCAAGUUUUCAUCCCACAAGUUUAGGUCUAGAGAAAGCUUUAAAUUAUAACAGUUAUAUCUAAACUUGAGAGAGAACUUAAAAUUUGCAAAUUAGGCAGAGCAACUAUUUAUCAUAUCCAUGCUUAAGUUUUAUUUAGAUACAGAUUGGCAUAGCUACUUUAUUUAUUUAUUAAACACACUAAGCAAAAGACAUAUAUAUAAGCAUAAAAUCUUUAUUUGGUUUUCCAUAGUUUAUGUGUAUUUAUAUUCUAAAAUAAUAUAAGUAUAAAGAUAGAUAGAAAUACUUAUCGAGAUAAAUGGGGGUGCUCUCCCCCAAGCUGAAUUUUGACGUAGUUUCUCUUGAUGUAGCUAGCAGGUGGCAGAGGUGUAUUUGAAAGUCAGCAGCAUUCUGACAGCGAUUAGAAUGUCCUCCGUCUGCUAGUCUUCUUGAUUCUUAAAUUCUGUGGAGCUCAAAUAGACAACAUAGCUUGUGGAACUGAUUAAGUGUUAGCAUAAAGUGUUAGCAUAAAUAUCUAGCCUUUAUCAUGUUAAGACUCCUUAAUAAAUAUUACUCCCUGUUUUUAUAUUUUUGUUUUUAUAAAGCAGAAAAAUAUUUAUUUUAUUUUUAUGCCACCACAGUGAAUGUACUUAUGGGUUUUAUGCCACUCGUCUACUCACAUGGGGCUUACAGUUUUUUUUUCACAUUUUUAUUUUCUUUCUAGGAUAAUACGAACAUGAUUAACUAAGUAAACUAUUUGAAAUAAUUAAAAGGGAAAGGAUAACUACCAAGUUUACCUCUUGGCAAGGCGUUCGGUGUUUUUAAGUCCUCCGAGCGGGACUCUCCAUUUUCUUAAUCGUCCUGGGAUUCGCUGGAUGACGUAGUCGGUGGUUCCGGCGGCGCCUCCUCUUCGUGUGUAACUAUAUUCUCUCUCCACACCUGACUCGGUACUACGGUCUCCUCAGGACAGUUAUGUUCAAGUGGUAUGUCUUCAGUCCUUAUCACUUUCCUUCGUAGUCUACCCAUCCGUCCUUGAUGAUUUGCCUCCUCUGGUUGCGGUUGCGAUGUCUUCUUCUUGUCCUGACCUGCUUAGAGUCUUCAACUAUAUAGUUAGGGUCAGUAAAGUAGUGGCGUACCUUCUCAGAGAGGAAGUGCAUGUGGACUUCUCCGGUUCCAAUAUAGAUGAUGGCUUUGAUAGUGUUGAGGAACGGUCUUCCAAGGAUGAUGGGUGGAUCAUACUCGUCUUCUCCCAUGUCAAUGACCUGAAAAUUGUCUGAAGCUGAAUGUAUCUUGGUUGUAGGGGCAUGGUUCUAUGCGAGCUGAUAAGUGACUGCGGCCAUUAUGUUGUCGUCAGAUCCAGUGUCGUAGAGUGUCUUCUAAAAAGAGUAUCCAUUGUUUGUGCAUUCGAUUCUUGGAACACCAGGGUCGUCCUUCUUGAUCAAGAAAGGUGACUUGAGUCGACGAUCUUGACCUCCUUGAGCUGCAGUGACCAUCUUAGCUGACUCGGUCCACAUUUGCUUGUUCCUGUUCCUCCUGUUGGUCCUCUUCCUUGGUUCAUGUCAGGGUUGCUCUGAAGUUUGUGUAGUCUUGUUCUUGAAGGAAAGUCUCCUUCUUCCCCUUGAUGUAGAAACUGAUCUUGGCAGCAUUAGCGUAGAUGACAGCUCUGGUGUUUAGGAAUGGCCUCCCUAAGAUGAUGGGUGCCCUCUCCUCAGUGCCAGUCUCUAUCACCACGAAGUUUGCUGGAGUGUACAAGGUACCAACUCGGACACAGAGGUUCUUCAAUAUUUCCUUUGGGAAACUAAGUGUCUGAUCUCCAUUGUGUUUGUGCUUGUAGAUCCCGGUUCUUCACUUGAUGGAAUCUGGGAGUUGUAAAACGCCUUCACGUUUCUCAAAAUGUGUCCUACUCAUAGAGACAAGGCAGAGAUCAAGUGCAUGGGCCCUGUUGGUGGAAAACACCAACAGAACCAAAAGUGUAUUUGUUCUUCUCUAACCUUAAGCAUUGUGAGCAAGACAAAGUUGAUGGAUCAUGAGUGUAGCAUUUAAAAUAUUUGUUAGAUCAGAUGGCUCAACCUAAUGGAAAGAUAAUCUCUCUAUAUUUAUGUUUUGUUUAUAUCUUCCAAAGAUUGAAUGUGCAAUACUUUAGCUUAUAAGAUUAGGAGUGUG